rnacentral:rRNA from 1 species
CACGUAGGAGGCGAGCGUUGUCCGGAAUCAUUGGGCGUAAAGAGCGCGCAGGCGGCUUGGCAAGUCGGGUGUGAAAUCCCGGGGGCUCAACCCCCGGGACUGCAUUCGAUACUGUCAGGCUAGAGGUAGGUAGGGGAGAUCGGGAAUUCCUGGUGUAGCGGUGAAAUGCGCAGAUAUCAGGAGGAACACCGAUGGCGAAGGCAGGUCUCUGGGCAUUAACUGACGCUGAGGAGCGAAAGCAUGGGGAGCGAACAGG